rnacentral:rRNA from 1 species
GAUGAACGCUAGCGGCAGGCUUAACACAUGCAAGUCGAGGGGCAGCACGUCUUCGGAUGGUGGCGACCGGCGCACGGGUGAGUAACGCGUAUGCAAUCUACCUUUUACAGGGGCAUAGCCCGGGGAAACCCGGAUUAAUAUCCUAUAGUACCAUUAUAUAGCAUUAUAUUAUGGUUAAAGUUUCGGCGGUAAAAGAUGAGCAUGCGUCCUAUUAGCUUGAUGGUAAGGUAACGGCUUACCAUGGCUAUGAUAGGUAGGGGUCCUGAGAGGGAGACCCCCCACACUGGUACUGAGACACGGACCAGACUCCUACGGGAGGCAGCAGUGAGGAAUAUUGGACAAUGGGCGCAAGCCUGAUCCAGCCAUGCCGCGUGCAGGAAGACGGCCCUAUGGGUUGUAAACUGCUUUUAUAUGGGAAGAAACACCCCUUCGUGAAGGGACUUGACGGUACCGUAUGAAUAAGGAUCGGCUAACUCCGUGCCAGCAGCCGCGGUAAUACGGAGG